rnacentral:rRNA from 1 species
CCUACGGGUGGCAGCAGUGAGGAAUAUUGGUCAAUGGACGAGAGUCUGAACCAGCCAAGUCGCGUGAAGGAUGACUGCCCUAUGGGUUGUAAACUUCUUUUAUAUGGGAAUAAAAUGUUCCACGUGUGGGAUUUUGUCUGUACCAUAUGAAUAAGUAUCGGCUAACUCCGUGCCAGCAGCCGCGGUAAUACGGAGGAUCCGAGCGUUAUCCGGAUUUAUUGUGUUUAAAGGGAGCGUAGGGGGAGUGUUAAGUCAGUUGUGAAAGUUUGCGGCUCAACCGUAAAAUUGGAGUUGAAACUGGCAGUGUUGAGGACAGUAGAGGGUGGCGGAAUUCGUUGGGUAGAGGUGAAA